CCUACGGGAUGCAGCAGUGGGGAAUAUUGGGCAAUGGGCGGAAGCCUGACCCAGCGACGCCGCGUGAAGGAGGAAGGCUUUCGGGUUGUAAAGUUCUUUUCAGGGGGAAGAGGAAGGACGGUACCCUUGGAAUAAGCGUCGGCUAACUACGUGCCAGCAGCCGCGGUAAGACGUAGGACGCGAGCGUUAUCCGGAUUUACUGGGCGUAAAGCGUCUGUAGGCGGAACAGUAAGUUGGGCGUGAAAGCUUCGGGCUUAACCCGGAGAGGACGUACAAGACUGCUGAACUAGAGGCCACCAGAGGGGCGUGGAAUUUCCGGUGUAGCGGUAAAAUGCGCAGAUAUCGGAAGGAACACCAGUGGCGAAGGCGGCGCCCUGGGGUGGGCCUGACGCUAAGAGACGAAAGCUAGGGGAGCGAACAGGAUUAGAUACCCGUGUAGU
rnacentral:rRNA from 1 species